CGGUACCUCCCCUCUGAACUCCUGCCAAAAAAACGACACACACAAGAAAGGUGCUCAGUUUGCGAAGUCCCCCGUUUUAAAAAAAAAAACGGAUUUAAAUUCAAUUCAAUUUAUUUCUCUCUCUUAAUAAGCUCCAGACCUCCUCUCCUCCGCGAUGUGGUGCGGUCGCGUGGCUCUGCGUCGUCUCCAGCGGAUCGCCGUUGCUCCGUUAAACUCGUUAAGUAUUACCGGGGGGUUUACCGGGCGCCGUGCAGAGAGAGAUGUCGUCCUUACCGCGGGUCUACAUCACGCGCCAGAUCCCUCCGGAAGGGCUGAAGAUUCUCAGCGAGUCAGGACAAGUGCAGUUUGAUCUGUGGGACUCAGAUGACGUCCCCGUGCCCCGGAAGGAGUUGCUCCAGAAGGUCAAAGGUGUCGAUGCGCUGGUCUGCGUGCUCACGGAGAAGAUCGACGCCGAGCUAUUGGACGCCGCAGGUCCUAACCUCAGGGUCCUGAGCACCAUGUCGGUGGGUUUUGACCACCUCUCCCUGGAGGAACUAAAGAAAAGGGGUAUCCGUGUGGGCUACACUCCAGAUGUGUUAACAGAUUCUGUAGCUGAACUGACUGUCGCUCUACUGCUGACCACGUCCAGGAGACUGAUAGAGGCUACACAUGAAGCCAAGACUGGUGGCUGGGGAACAUGGAGGACUCUGUGGCUGUGUGGAUAUGAGCUGGCUAACAGCACCGUGGGAAUACUGGGACUGGGCCGGAUCGGAGUGGCUAUCGCUGAGCGUCUGAAGCCGUUCAAGGUUAAGAAAUUUAUCUACACAGACGUGGCCCCCCGACCAGAGCUGGCCAGUUUGAUCGACGCAGAAUAUGUCUCUAUGGAUGAGUUGGCCAGUCAGUCUGACUUCCUGACAGUGUGUUGUGCUCUGACACCAGAGACUAAAGACAUCUGUAACAAGGACCUGUUCUCCAAAAUGAAGAAUACCUCCAUCUUCAUCAACACCAGCAGAGGAGGGGUGGUACACCAGGAGGAUCUGUAUGAAGCCCUGUCCAGUGGUCAGAUAGCUGGAGCCGGACUCGACGUGACCGUCCCUGAACCGCUGCCCAUCAGCCAUCCACUCUUCACCCUGAACAACUGUGUGAUCCUCCCCCACAUUGCCAGUGCGUCCUACUCCACGCGUAAUGCCAUGUCUGCCCUGGCAGCCAAUAACCUGCUACUGGGUCUGAAGGGACAGCCAAUGAUCAAAGAGCUCAAGCUGUAGCUGCCAAUCACCUGCUUUC